UAGAUACCGUCGUAGUCUCAACCAUAAACGAUGCCGACUAGGGAUUGGCAGGUGUUUCGUUGAUGACCCUGCCAGCACCUUAUGAGAAAUCAAAGUUUUUGGGUUCCGGGGGGAGUAUGGUCGCAAGGCUGAAACUUAAAGGAAUUGACGGAAGGGCACCACCAGGCGUUAACUUAGCAGCAAGCUCAGCGCCUCAAAGUCAUAGGGAAACCUUUGGCUAGUACUUGGGUGUUACGUUUUGAUGUCAUCCAAGUGAAACACUGAUCAAAUUGCGGGAAAGCCCUAAAGCUUUGCUAACCAAGCUGUUCUAGAAAUAGAAUAGUGGCCGGGUUAAAGACCUUGGGUACGGUAAAAUCAGCAAAGAUGCAACAAUGGGCAAUCCGCAGCCAAGCUCCUAAGAGUUCACCAAGCCUAUGGAGCAGGUUUAGAGACUUAAUGGCAGUGGGCUAGCAAGACAAUGCUGGCUUAAGAUAUAGUCCGUCCCAGCUGAGAGGCUGCCUAUUAGAGGAUUGCCGCAAGGCAGGAGAGCUAAUAGGAAGUAAGUGUUCAUGACCUUACUUGGAUGCAACGGGAGCCUGCGGCUUAAUUURACUCAACACGGGAAAACUUACCGGGUCCAGACACGGGGAGGAUUGACAGAUUGAGAGCUCUUUCUUGAUUCUGUGGGUGGUGGUGCAUGGCCGUUCUUAGYUGGUGGGUUGCCUUGUCAGGUUGAUUCCGGUAAUGAACGAGACCUCAGCCUGCUAAAUAGUCACGUCUACCUUGGUAGGCACCUGACUUCUUAGAGGGACUAUUGGCGUUUAGCCAAUGGAAGUGUGAGGCAAUAACAGGUCUGUGAUGCCCUUAAAUGUUCUGGGCCGCACGCGCGCUACACUGAUGCAUUCAACGAGCCUAUCCUUGGCAGAGAGGUCCGGGUAAUCUUUGAAACUGCAUCGUGAUGGGGAUAGAUUAUUGCAAUUAUUAGUCUUCAACGAGGAAUGC
rnacentral:lncRNA from 1 species